rnacentral:tRNA from 1 species
CAAAGUAAUUAUUAGAUAAAUUUUUCAUUUACAAUGAAAAAGGUUUUGUGCAAUUCAAAAUGCUUUGA